CGGGAGGAUGGAAGUCCGCUGCUCGGUGUGGGAGACGUGUCUGCAGCGGCCUGAACCUGGGCAGUGGAGCGCCGCCUGGAAGGCUGGGAGCUCUGUUCUUGCAGCGGUGGGUUGAAGCGGAGCUAGAAGGGGUGGACCGAUGGUCUGCGUGGGAUGUGGAGGAGGGUUUCCUCGCCGUACCCACGGCGGACGAAAAGAGGGGAUGUGGUGCGAGAGCCCAGAGCGUUGGUCUACUGAAGCGGUAGAAGCAAGGGCAGAGGCAGAGAUAGGGGAACUGAAGAGGAUUUAAGGAGUUUGCAUCGCAAUGCCGUCAGCAAGCUGUCGCCACAGAAGCAGGAGAAAGGAGCAGUCGACAGAACAACUCGAGCAGGUGCAGAUCGAGCUGACACCAACUGGGAGCACGUCAUCCUCCAAGCCGAUAGCCACCGCCACCGGUCACCGCAUCCUAGAGGCUAACCUCGACGUGCCGAAGACGACCUCACACUCCGUCGCUGUACAGCUGGACUCGCUGCAGGGGUGGAAGCGAGGUCACAAUGAGAGACCCGUGAUGAUGCGUAAUGAUCAUAUGCACUGGAAGGAGAAAAAAGCAUGUGAAUCCUUACAUCAGUGGAGGUCCACCUUAUGGCGACGCCCUGUCCUCCGCUGCAUCAAGUGCAAGAAAGUGAGAAAGAGAGGGGAUAAAGGGGAUGAGAGAUGAGAGAUGAAGAACUUCGAACCUGUAGGGACAUGACACAUGUUUUGGCUGAGGUCCAGCCGACGCCACAGUGCUCGAUUUCAGACCUUAGAAACCAUGGCAUCCCAUCUGGCUUAUUGGCUGGCUGGACACUGCUUCCUCCUAGAUUGAACAACGGCGGUGGCCAGAUGAAGCAGCGGGGGAGGAGAAACUUGUAGGAGGAGAGAAGACCGUCUGGCUGGAUGCGUUGGCCCCCCAAAACGGCGGUGGCUGCUGGACGACUUCAUCGGGGAGGAGAACUACCGCUGGAUCGGAGGAGGUGCACGUUCGUGCGAUGUGAGGAUGUAUCCAGGAAGAGGAGAAAGCGGUCGCUGCUCCCUCGCGAAGGAUCGCGGUAAGCGGCGGGAUAGACGUGGCACAGAUAUAUCAAUUUAACCGGAAAACCGGAAACUAUGGGUGAGAAAAGGAAAGAAGAGCAUAGAGAGGAGAAAUAACCGGAAGCAUUAAAAGGGGACAACCGGAAAGAAGCCGGUAAUCAGGGGUUUCCAAUGCAGAAAAAAGAGAAA